rnacentral:rRNA from 1 species
CCUACGGGAGGCUGCAGUGGGGAAUAUUGGACAAUGGGGGCAACCCUAAUCCAGCCAUGCCGCGUGUGUGAAGAAGGCCCUCGGGUUGUAAAGCACUUUCAGUGAGGAAGAACGCCUGGUGGUUAAUACCCAUCAGGAAAGACAUCACUCACAGAAGAAGCACCGGCUAACUCCGUGCCAGCAGCCGCGGUAAUACGGAGGGUGCGAGCGUUAAUCGGAAUUACUGGGCGUAAAGCGCGCGUAGGUGGCUUGAUAAGCCGGUUGUGAAAGCCCCGGGCUCAACCUGGGAACGGCAUCCGGAACUGUCAAGCUAGAGUGCAGGAGAGGAAGGUAGAAUUCCCGGUGUAGCGGUGAAAUGCGUAGAGAUCGGGAGGAAUACCAGUGGCGAAGGCGGCCUUCUGGACUGACACUGACACUGAGGUGCGAAAGCGUGGGUAGCAAACAGGAUUAGAUACCCCAGUAGUC